AGAAAGUGGCGAACGGGUGAGUAACGCGUGGGUAAUCUACCCUGUAAGUGGGGGAUAACCCUCCGAAAGGAGGGCUAAUACCGCAUAACAUCUUCCCCUCAUAAGAAGGAGAGAUUAAAGAUGGCCUCUUUAUAUGCUAUCACUUCAGGAUGAGUCCGCGUCCUAUUAGUUAGUUGGUAGGGUAAUGGCCUACCAAGACCACAAUGGGUAGCCGGUCUGAGAGGAUGUACGGCCACACUGGGACUGAGAUACGGCCCAGACUCCUACGGGAGGCAGCAGUGGGGAAUAUUGCGCAAUGGGGGAAACCCUGACGCAGCGACGCCGCGUGGAUGAUGAAGGCCUUCGGGUUGUAAAGUCCUGUUCUGGGGGACGAAACCUUAAGGGUCCAAUAGGCCCUUAAGCUGACGGUACCCCAAGAGAAAGCUCCGGCUAAUUAUGUGCCAGCAGCCGCGGUAAUACAUAAGGAGCAAGCGUUGUCCGGAAUUAUUGGGCGUAAAGAGCUCGUAGGCGGUCUUAAAAGUCAGGUGUGAAAUUAUCAGGCUUAACCUGAUAAGGUCAUCUGAAACUCUAAGACUUGAGGAUAGAAGAGGAAAG
rnacentral:rRNA from 1 species